AGGGUGUGUGUGUUUUU
rnacentral:miRNA from 1 species